rnacentral:rRNA from 1 species
AUGGAUUGCAACCCCAAGAUCAUUUUUUGGAAUGUCCGCGGCCUCAACUCCGGGGCUAAACGUACGGCCGUCCGCAGCGUGAUCUCCGUUGCCACCCCCACUAUCGUGUGCUUGCAGGAGACUAAACUUGCGCAUGUCACAGACUCGAUCGUCCUUGAUACCCUCGGCUCUCUAUUUGAGGACUUCUUCUUCCUUCCCGCCGCGGGCACUCGCGGUGGCGUGCUUCUUGCAUGGCGCAAAUCCCACGUCUCCCUAUCUAACCCCCUCAUUGGCGAGCACCAUAUUACCGCCCUGGUCUCCCCCGUUGAUGGCACCGGCCAUUGGUGGCUCAUAGGUGUCUACGGCCCCCAAGACGACGAGGCCAAGCUCGGAUUUCUUGCCGACCUCCAGGAUGUGCGCGAGGCACGCAUCGGGCCUUGGCUCCUCGGCGGUGACUUCAACAUGAUCACUUCGGCCGCCGACAAGAAUACCCCGACCCUGAACCGCCGCGUCAUGAGCAGAUUCUGGCGCUUCAUUGCUGAUGAGGAGCUCCGCGAUAUGUACAUGCAUGGACGCCGCUACACUUGGUCCAGUGAACGUGAUACGCCUACCCUCGUGCGGAAUGACUGGAUUCUUUGCACGUCCGGAUGGGAGAUCGCC